CAGCAGCCGCGGGAAUACAGAGGGUGCGAGCGUUAAUCGGAUUUACUGGGCGUAAAGCGUGCGUAGGCGGCUUCUUAAGUCGGAUGUGAAAUCCCUGAGCUUAACUUAGGAAUUGCAUUCGAUACUGGGAAGCUAGAGUAUGGGAGAGGAUGGUAGAAUUCCAGGUGUAGCGGUGAAAUGCGUAGAGAUCUGGAGGAAUACCGAUGGCGAAGGCAGCCAUCUGGCCUAAUACUGACGCUGAGGUACGAAAGCAUGGGGAGCAAACAGGAUUAGAUACCCGCGUAGUCCCUGUCUCUUAUAC
rnacentral:rRNA from 1 species